AUACGGAGGAUCCGAGCGUUAUCCGGAUUUAUUGGGUUUAAAGGGAGCGUAGGCGGAGGAUCAAGUCAGCUGUGAAAUGUAGACGCUCAACGUCUGCACUGCAGUUGAAACUGGUCCCCUUGAGUGCGUAAGGGGCAGGCGGAAUUCGUCGUGUAGCGGUGAAAUGCUUAGAUAUGACGAAGAACUCCGAUCGCGAAGGCGGCUUGCCGGGCCGCAACUGACGCUGAAGCUCGAAGGUGCGGGUAUCGAACAGGAUUAGAUACCCUGGUAGUCCGCACAGUAAACGAUGGAUACUCGCUGUCGGCGAUAUACGGUCGGUGGCCAAGCGAAAGCGUUAAGUAUCCCACCUGGGGAGUACGCCGGCAACGGUGAAACUUAAAGGAAUUGACGGGG
rnacentral:rRNA from 1 species